rnacentral:rRNA from 1 species
GAGCUGGGUUCAGAACGUCGUGAGACAGUUCGGUCCCUAUCUGCCGUGGGCGUAAGAAGAUUGAAGAGAUUUGACCCUAGUACGAGAGGACCGGGUUGAACAAACCCCUGGUGUAGCUGUUGUUCUGCCAAGAGCAUCGCAGCGUAGCUAAGUUUGGAAAGGAUAAACGCUGAAAGCAUCUAAGCGUGAAGCCAACUCUAAGAUGAAUCUUCUCUAAG